AACCGCCCAGUACGGAGCCGUACGCUGGGUGGUGUGAGAGGACGGGAGUCAUCUACUCCCUCCUACUCGAU
rnacentral:misc_RNA from 1 species